GAUGAACGCUAGCUACAGGCUUAACACAUGCAAGUCGAGGGACCGGCGCACGGGUGAGUAACACGUAUCCAACCUGCCCUUUACUCGGGGAUAGCCUUUCGAAAGAAAGAUUAAUACCCGAUAUAAAGGAUGGGGAUGAGUUCCAUUAGGUUGUUGGUGAGGUAACGGCCCACCAAGCCUUCCAUGGAUAGGGGAUCGGAGAGGAAGCUCCCCCGCAUUGGAGCUACGGCACGGUCCAAUCUGCUACGGAGGGCAGGGGUGUGGAAUAUAAGUCGCUGAGCGCUGAUCUGAACCAGCCGAGUAGCGGAAGGAGUGAAGGCUUAUGGAUCUUAAUCUUCUGUUAUAGAAGGAGAUGUAUUAUCUGAAUAAGGAUCGGCUAACUCCGUGCCAGCCGCCGCGGUAAUUC
rnacentral:rRNA from 1 species